UACGGGGGGUGCAAGCGUUAUCCGGAUUCACUGGGUUUAAAGGGUGCGUAGGUGGGUCUGUAAGUCAGUGGUGAAAUCCCCGAGCUUAACUUGGGAACUGCCGUUGAUACUAUAGAUCUUGAAUAUCGUGGAGGUAAGCGGAAUAUGUCAUGUAGCGGUGAAAUGCUUAGAUAUGACAUAGAACACCAAUUGCGAAGGCAGCUUACUACACGAUCAUUGACACUGAGGCACGAAAGCGUGGGGAGCAAACAGG
rnacentral:rRNA from 1 species